AGAGUUUGAUCMUGGCUCAGAUUGAACGCUGGCGGAAUGCUUUACACAUGCAAGUCGAACGGCAGCACGGACUUCGGUCUGGUGGCGAGUGGCGAACGGGUGAGUAAUAUAUCGGAACGUAUCCAAUAAUGGGGGAUAACUAAUCGAAAGGUUGGCUAAUACCGCAUACGCCCUACGGGGGAAAGCUAGGGACCUUCGGGCCUGGCGUUAAUGGAGCGGCUGAUAUCUGAUUAGCUAGUAGGUGAGGUAAAAGCUCACCUAGGCGACGAUCAGUAGCUGGUCUGAGAGGACGACCAGCCACACUGGAACUGAGACACGGUCCAGACUCCUACGGGAGGCAGCAGUGGGGAAUUUUGGACAAUGGGCGAAAGCCUGAUCCAGCCAUUCCGCGUGAGUGAAGAAGGCCUUCGGGUUGUAAAGCUCUUUCGCAAGGGAAGAAAACUUAGUCUCUAACAUAGACUGAGGUUGACGGUACCUUGAUAAGAAGCACCGGCUAACUACGUGCCAGCAGCCGCGGUAAUA
rnacentral:rRNA from 1 species